UUUAUGGAGAGUUUGAUCCUGGCUCAGGAUGAACGCUGGCGGCGUGCCUAAUACAUGCAAGUCGAGCGAACAGACGAGGAGCUUGCUCCUCUGACGUUAGCGGCGGACGGGUGAGUAACACGUGGAUAACCUACCUAUAAGACUGGGAUAACUUCGGGAAACCGGAGCUAAUACCGGAUAAUAUAUUGAACCGCAUGGUUCAAUAGUGAAAGACGGUUUUGCUGUCACUUAUAGAUGGAUCCGCGCCGCAUUAGCUAGUUGGUAAGGUAACGGCUUACCAAGGCAACGAUGCGUAGCCGACCUGAGAGGGUGAUCGGCCACACUGGAACUGAGACACGGUCCAGACUCCUACGGGAGGCAGCAGUAGGGAAUCUUCCGCAAUGGGCGAAAGCCUGACGGAGCAACGCCGCGUGAGUGAUGAAGGUCUUCGGAUCGUAAAACUCUGUUAUUAGGGAAGAACAAAUGUGUAAGUAACUAUGCACGUCUUGACGGUACCUAAUCAGAAAGCCACGGCUAACUACGUGCCAGCAGCCGCGGUAAUACGUAGGUGGCAAGCGUUAUCCGGAAUUAUUGGGCGUAAAGCGCGCGUAGGCGGUUUUUUAAGUCUGAUGUGAAAGCCCACGGCUCAACCGUGGAGG
rnacentral:rRNA from 1 species